GCCUCGCCCGGCUCGAUUGUACUGCAGUGUACUGCGAGAAAGCGCGAGCACUGGAGCCGUACUGCAAGCGAGCCAGGGAAAAAACUGUUGAAGCCAUCCUCCUAUCCUCUCACCUUUGCUCUCUCCCUCCCAACCCCUAAUUUUUCUCCCCUCCCAAUCAUCCUGGCGGCAGCAGCAGAGGCGAGAGGGCAACAGAGCUGCGACGACCAGGUCAAGAACCCCAGCAGCCGCCUCCCCUCCCCUACCCCCUUUUCAUCGCCCAGAUGCUCAUCAGGGAGCAGGACGACCUGUGCCUCCAGAUGUGCCGCUGCCGCGACAUGGAAGCUGGCCUACUGAUGCUGCUCUCCUCCCGUGUCGGGGACGACGAGCUACUGCUGCACACCGGUGAAUAGUGGCAAUCGAGUACUCCUUUAUGUCAAGUUCGUUCCCCUUUUUCUAAUGGAAUGCUGUCAUUUUCUUAUUUCUAUUGCAAUGAUUGAUGGUAAAGCCCAAUGCAUCGGUCAGGCGAGGAUGGGAGGCGGCGGGUUCAGGAGGGCGCCUGGCAGGGAUGAUGUGGCGCCAUAUUUGUGGCGUAAGAGAAGGAGGGGGACCUAUCGGCUUAUGAGUGAUAGUCCACAUCGAACACACAUGUGUUCUAUGGAAGUGCUAGGAGCAGCAAAUCUCCUUAUUAAUGUGUUGCCAUACCUGGCAGGGCUAGCCAUUUUAAAUUUAUUCGUUCCUUCACUCAGAUAAUUUUUGUUUGGUUCCAUUUGUUUGUAGGUUCUUGUGGAGGUUGGUCGAGCUCCAAGACAGGGUCAGAGUUGGUCAAGAGAACCAAUGAUCUUGUGAAAAAUAAAUCCAUCUGACCUCUAUUAUAUGUGGCUACAGGGUGACCUCUAUUAUUUGUCGCUACAGGGUGAGCUUAUAAUGUCUUAGAUUAUUUAUUUUUGACAUAUGUAUUCUACCAUAUUGCUAUGCGUGAAGCUUGCGAAUAUGUUGAAGAAAGUUGCCUGUCAAGGUAAAAGAAUAUUAUAUCCGGGACUAGUGGCAGUAGAACUAUGUUCCGUUCCAUGCUUAUUGUCAUAGUUGUCAUAUGCUGAUAAUGCCGGCAUGUUGUGGUGUUCAUACUCUCAUGCUUAUCCUCAGAUUUUGAACUUAUUUGUUUGAAACACGUAUACCUCCUCAUGGUCUCAAUAAUAGUUGGAUUGUAACUGUAGUCCGUAACAGUCUUUUUGUCUUUCAUUUGGCUAGCUUCCCUGUUGAACUAGGAUGUCCAGUAUAUAAAUACAGAGAUGGACCUCUCAAGGCUGUAGAUGAAUAUCAGUUUUGCAAACCUUAUGUGAUGGUACUGUCAGGAUUCAGGAAGCAACUAUUUAUGUUUUCCCAGAGCCCUUUCAUUCUUCCCCAAAUUUAAACUAUAUUGAUAAUAUAAAUACCUACCCUCUUUAUAAGUAUCUGUGUAUGGUGUAAUUAUGUACAUCUAAUGUACCUACCCUCUUUAUAAGUAUCUGUGUAUGGUGUAAUUAUGUACAUCUAAUGUCGUGUUGAGUUUUCUGGUAUGUGCUUCUUGUAGGUUAUUGUCAUAGUGGGAGAAACUGGUUAUGGUUAAAUGGUGCAAAUACCUCAGUAUCUUCCUGGAGCUAGAUAUACAGCAAGAGGAAAGUGCAGUCUACAUGCUCUGGUACAUUAGUGAAAUGGCUAUGCUCUGCUCCUUGGCGGUAUUCGGCGGGAGUAGCACUGGCCGCCGCAGCACAGCAACUUCGAGAAGAGCUGUCUUCCAAUCAGGUUUCUUUUCAGCACUGCAAGGCCUGGAGCUCCAUCAUGCAGCUUGUUGCUGCUGAAAGCUCUAGACAGAUUCCGCGGGGACUUUUCGAUGUGGUCGGACGCUCAAAAAUGCUGAACCUAGGAAGACCACAUGGACGACUGAAUAUAAUGGCCAACUGGGUGCUGCUGAGUCUCUGGUGCUUUGUAUUCUUUUUUUCUUCAGUUUUUCGGUUUCGCUCCCAGCUUGGUUUGGUUUGUCUUCAAAUCCUGUAACUCUCCUCUAAUCCAUAAUCAAUGAAAAGUUGCACUGACAGCCCUUUCGUCAAGAAAAGUUUCAACUUCUCAGCCUUUUAUUUUUGUUUUUCCAUGAUAAUUGAGGAGAAAAGAAUUCUGUUGUUCAACACAAAGUAAAUUGUUGCGACGGCUCUUGCAUUCUAA